rnacentral:rRNA from 1 species
UACGGAGGUGGCAAGCGUUGCUCGGAAUCACUGGGCGUAAAGGGCUCGUAGGCGGCCAACUAAGUCAGACGUGAAAUCCCUCGGCUUAACCGGGGAACUGCGUCUGAUACUGGUUGGCUUGAAUCCGGGAGAGGGAUGUGGAAUUCCAGGUGUAGCGGUGAAAUGCGUAGAUAUCUGGAGGAACACCGGUGGCGAAGGCGGCAUCCUGGACCGGUAUUGACGCUGAGGAGCGAAAGCCAGGGGAGCAAACGGG